UACGGAGGGUGCAAGCGUUGUUCGGAAUCACUGGGCGUAAAGGGCGUGUAGGCGGUCCGCUAAGUCUGAUGUGAAAGCCCGGGGCUCACCCCCGGAAGGGCAUUGGAAACUGGCGGACUCGAGUCUCGGAGAGGAAGGUGGAAUUCCUGGUGUAGCGGUGAAAUGCGCAGAUAUCAGGAAGAACACCAAUGGCGAAAGCAGCUCUCUGGGACGGUACUGACGCUGAGACGCGAAAGCGUGGGGAGCGAACAGG
rnacentral:rRNA from 1 species